rnacentral:rRNA from 1 species
ACGAACGCUGGCGGCGUGCCUCAUACAUGCAAGUUGCGCGAUGAAGAUUGGUGCUUGCACCCAUUUGAAGAGCAGCGAACGGGUGAGUAACGCGUGGGGAAUCUGCCUUUGAGCGGGGGACAACAUUUGGAAACGAAUGCUAAUACCGCAUAACAACUUUAAACAUAAGUUUUAAGUUUGAAAGAUGCAAUUGCAUCACUCAAAGAUGAUCCCGCGUUGUAUUAGCUAGUUGGUGAGGUAAAGGCUCACCAAGGCGAUGAUACAUAGCCGACCUGAGAGGGUGAUCGGCCACAUUGGGACUGAGACACGGCCCAAACUCCUACGGGAGGCAGCAGUAGGGAAUCUUCGGCAAUGGACGAAAGUCUGACCGAGCAACGCCGCGUGAGUGAAGAAGGUUUUCGGAUCGUAAAACUCUGUUGGUAGAGAAGAACGUUGGUGAGAGUGGAAAGCUCAUCAAGUGACGGUAACUACCCAGAAAGGGACGGCUAACUACGUG